AUAUAUGCCGUAAUCUUGUAAGU
rnacentral:siRNA from 1 species